rnacentral:misc_RNA from 1 species
AACCCUUGUGGAGGAGGACGCCGAAGGUGGGGCUAAUGACUGGGGUGAAGUCGUAACAAGGUAGCCGUACCGGAAGGUGCGGCUGGAUCACCUCCUAACAGGGAGACAACAAAAUGUUAAAUAUUAAUUUUGUCACCUUAGGUCGAUCGGUAUCUCACAUUCUUAAUUUAUUAAGAAUUUUAUUUCCUAAGUUUUUUCUAGGUCACACCCAUUAUUUUCCCUGGGCCAUUAGCUCAGGUGGUUAGAGCGCACCCCUGAUAAGGGUGAGGUCCCUGGUUCAAGUCCAGGAUGGCCCAUAUCUCUAUGUUGGGGGUAUAGCUCAGUUGGUAGAGCGCCUGCUUUGCAAGCAGGAUGUCAGCGGUUCGAGUCCGCUUACCUCCACUGAUUACCACCUCUUCCAUAAUUUAAAGAAGGGAAAUUAUUGAGUUAUGAUCAAAUUCUGAACGAAUCUAGCUUCCUAAUAAUCUUAUUAAGAUGCUGGACUCAUUGAAUUAAUUUUCAUUGUUUUCAGAGAACCUUGACAACUGCAUAGAUUAUUUUUAAAGACAAUAAGCAUCUUUAAUGAUGCAGAUUUUUUAUUUGUGCGAAUGCAUUAAAUAACAAUUCUAUUAAGCUGAUGCUUCAAAUUUAUUGAAGUUAUUGGUCAAGCUACAAAGGGCUCACGGAGGAUACCUAGGCACACAGAG